UCCAGCGAGUUUGGGGCAAAGCAGCAUUCCCUGGCCCCAAGGGCAUCUGGACACAGCCAUUCCUGGUGGGUUUGCUGCUGCCUCAACACCCAGACCUUCUCCAGGCAGCCCUGUGAAGACCCAGGAGAGGCAGCAGCCAUGAAGAUCCUGUUCCUGCUCUUCCCCCUGAUCCUCCUGUUGGCCCAGGGUGCUGCAGGAAGUGAACUUGAAUGCAUACGCCGAAGAGGAUACUGUUAUUUUGGGAGAUGUGUCCUCCCUGCAAGGCAAAUUGGAAGAUGCACAGG